rnacentral:lncRNA from 1 species
UAAGGUCUCUCAUUUGAACCUUUUCCUAUACAUAAUAUUAUAUACUAUGAUAUAUAUAUAUAUAUAUGUGUGUGUGUGUGUGAAGCACACAAAAACACACAGUUGAUGCAAUGAUAUAGUGUGGGGGAAACCAACCCCAAGAGAAGUUGAUGAUUAGUCCCUCAUCACCUUAAUUCAUCAUCACGUCACUACAUACAUGGCUCUCUUUCUCUCUCUACCAUCCUCAUCUUCAAUCUCAAACAUCAAACCCAGAAAAACAAGGAAAAGAAAUACUAUAUAUAUAAUCACACCCAAGAAGAAACCUAGCUAGCUCAUGAUGAAAAGGAGCUGCAAUUUCAUGUGAUUUUCUUCCUUGUUCUUUGCCUCUAUGGGAAUCGAAGCACAACGGUCCGAUCUUCAACUUCAGUUCAUCAAGAUUUUUUUUUGUUUGGUAUUUUUCUUUCAUAUUGUUUCUGAUUAUAAUGUUUUGUGCUUUGUGUUUAAUUCGUAGUAUAUGAAUAUUUUUGAGUUUUGUUUUGUAUGAUGCGAUUGUGGAUCUUGAAAACACAGUGAUAUAUAUGAAAUAAAUCUUUUUUUCAGUUGAGUUUAUGGUUUGAUCUGGCUAGCUAGGGUUCAUUUUUCUUGAUUUAAUUUUAUAAUAUAUAUAUAUUAAGAAAUUAUUUCUGAUGAGAAUUCAAACUCUGCAGUCAAGAACUUGAGAUUGUGUAUGAACUUAAGCAUCAAGAAAAACGUGGUGUUUUCGGAGGUGGGAAAAAAUUAAUUUGGAUUAAACAUGCGUUAAGAUAAUUAGUUUGAAGAAACAAAAAGAUAAAUAUUUAAAUUUAUGCUUGGGGAAAUGUAUGCAUAACAAUUCAAAUCUAGCUCGCGCACAUUUUAUUAUUUUUUCCUUUUCAUUUAUUUUUUUGUUUCAGAAAAAAAAAAAAUAAUUCAAGGUUUUCUAGAAGCAUAUAUGCAUCUAAAUUACGAAGUUCAAAUGGCUAAAUUAUGUUGUCGUCUCUUUGAUAAUGCUGUAGGGUCUGCUGCUGAAUUGGAAGUUUAAUAUAAAAAGAAGAAAUAAAAACCCUUGAAUGCACAAGACGCAAGCAAGGAACAGAGACUCUAAAAGAGUCCGAAAAACAAAAACAACAACGCGCAGAAAAGUCUAAACGUUACCGCAAAAACCAACAAUCAAAAAGUAAAAUCCAUAUUGGAAUGAUAAUCAUCCUUGUUGCGAUCAUUUUCCAUGUCUAUUACAUCCGACCAACGGAUGUUCGGAAUAUUGGAAUGAUAAUCAUCCUUG